rnacentral:rRNA from 1 species
GACGUAGGGCGCGAGCGUUGUCCGGAUUUAUUGGGCGUAAAGAGCUCGUAGGCGGCUUGUCGCGUCGACUGUGAAAUCCCGCGGCUCAACUGCGGGUCUGCAGUCGAUACGGGCAGGCUAGAGUUCGGUAGGGGAGACUGGAAUUCCUGGUGUAGCGGUGAAAUGCGCAGAUAUCAGGAGGAACACCGGUGGCGAAGGCGGGUCUAC